rnacentral:rRNA from 1 species
AACGAACGCUGGCGGCAGGCCUAACACAUGCAAGUCGAGCGAGGACUUCGGUCCUAGCGGCGGACGGGUGAGUAACGCGUGGGAACGUGCCCUUUGCUUCGGAAUAGCCCUGGGAAACUGGGAGUAAUACCGGAUGAGCCCUUUGGGGGAAAGAUUUAUCGGCGAAGGAUCGGCCCGCGUGGGAUUAGGUAGUUGGUGGGGUAAUGGCCUACCAAGCCGAUGAUCCAUAGCUGGGUUGAGAGGAUGAUCCGCCACACUGGGACUGAGACACGGCCCAGACUCCUACGGGAGGCAGCAGUGGGGAAUCUUAGACAAUGGGGGAAAUCCUGAUCUAGCCAUGCCGCGUGAGCGAUGAAGGCCUUAGGGUUGUAAAGCUCUUUCAGCUGGGAAGAUAAUGACGGUACCAGCAGAAGAAGCCCCGGCUAACUCCGUG